CGACGGGUGAGUAAUGUCUGGGAAACUGCCCGAUGGAGGGGGAUAACUACUGGAAACGGUAGCUAAUACCGCAUAACGUCGCAAGACCAAAGAGGGGGACCUUCGGGCCUCUUGCCAUCGGAUGUGCCCAGAUGGGAUUAGCUAGUAGGUGGGGUAACGGCUCACCUAGGCGACGAUCCCUAGCUGGUCUGAGAGGAUGACCAGCCACACUGGAACUGAGACACGGUCCAG
rnacentral:rRNA from 1 species